rnacentral:rRNA from 1 species
AUUGAACGCUGGCGGCAGGCCUAACACAUGCAAGUCGAGCGGAGCGGCGGACGGGUGAGUAAUGCUUAGGAAUCGGCCUGGUAGUGGUGGAUAACGUCCGGAACCGGGCGCUAAUACCGCAUACUAUCUGCUGAGCCUAGGGCGGAUUAGCGAGUUGGUGGGGUAAAGGCGUACCAAGGCGUCGACCCGUAACUGGUCUGAGAGGAUGAUCAGUCACACGGGAACUGAGACACGGUCCAGACGCCUACGGGAGGCAGCAGGGGGUAAUAUUGGACAAUGGGCGAGAGCCUGAUGCAGCCAUGCCGCGUGUGUGAAGAAGGUCUUCGGAUUGUAAAGCACUUUAAGGUGGGAGGCGUUACCAGCAGAAUAAGCACCGGCUAACUUCGUGCCAGCAGCCGCGGUAAUAC